rnacentral:lncRNA from 1 species
CUUCUAUUAAAUCUAAGGAAUUGGAAUUGAAAGAUAUCAUUUUGGUCCAUCUCUAUCUGAAAAACAUGAAAGAUUUCUCAGCUACUAACUCAGCAUAUGUGACCACGUUCAAGCUCUGCCUGCCUGCAAGAGUUUUUGUGUAGAAACUAUGUUGCCAGAAGAAGUACUUUUCUUGAAAGAUUGCCUUGUCCACCAGAGUGACACAGAGAUUAGUGGUGGUCUCUGUCAUCCCAAAGAGAUCCUGCAUGUUCAGGGUAUUUCUCACUGGGCACCUGCUAGCAUUGGACCAUGUAGUCAGUCUAUCAAGUUGGGUGAACCAUGCCACAUAGUCGGGAGAGUCUUUUGGGGAUUUGAAGGCCAACAUGGGUACAGAAAAGAUAAAACCAGGUCAGCACUCGAGGACAAAGACCAGAAGCAGCUUGGUGAAUUACCACUACUCAGUAUGGACAGAGCAAAUGCAGAGCCUGGCACCAGCCAAGAUGCAAAGCUGAGUCAACUGGUGAGUUGCCAUGUGAGUGCAGGUAGGAGGAUGAAAGCAGAGGCAGACAUGCAAGCUGCCCACGUACUGAGCUCUUGUUUGUUUGUGUCCCUCAUCUCACUGGCUGUUUCUUCUCUGUCUCCUUUGCAGGCUCAUCCUCUCUACCUUCUGUGA